GCGGUGGAUGAUGUGGAUUAAUUCGAUGCAACGCGAAAACCUUACCUACCCUUGACAUGUCCGGAAUCCGAAGAGAUUUGGGAGUGCUCGAAAGAGAACCGUAACACAGGUGCUGCAUGGCUGUCGUCAGCUCGUGUCGUGAGAUGUUGGGUUAAGUCCCGCAACGAGCGCAACCCUUGUCAUUAGUUGCCAUCAUUUGGUUGGGCACUCUAAUGAGACUGCCGGUGACAAACCGGAGGAAGGUGGGGAUGACGUCAAGUCCUCAUGGCCCUUAUGGGUAGGGCUUCACACGUCAUACAAUGGUCGGUACAGAGGGUUGCCAACCCGCGAGGGGGAGCUAAUCCCACAAAGCCGAUCGUAGUCCGGAUCGCAGUCUGCAACUCGACUGCGUGAAGUCGGAAUCGCUAGUAAUCGUGGAUCAGCAUGUCACGGUGAAUACGUUCCCGGGUCUU
rnacentral:rRNA from 1 species